AGCUCAGCUGGAUAGAGCGUCUGUUUGCGGUACAGGAGGUCGUAGGUGAGAACUGCCAGUGGCAGUUCGGAAACGAAUCUUCACCUGCA
rnacentral:tRNA from 1 species